rnacentral:rRNA from 1 species
UACGGGGGGUGCAAGCGUUGUUCGGAAUUACUGGGCUUAAAGGGUUUGUAGGUGGCUUGCUAAGUCAGACGUGAAAUCCCUCAGCUUAACUGGGGAACUGCGUCUGAGACUGGCAAGCUCGAGUGCAGGAGAGGAACGCGGAAUUCCAGGUGUAGCGGUGAAAUGCGUAGAUAUCUGGAGGAACACCGGUGGCGAAGGCGGCGUUCUGGACUGCAACUGACACUGAAAAACGAAAGCCAGGGGAGCAAACGGG